GGGUGUGAUCAUGCUAGUGUUAAUGCACUGAAUCCCAUUGAAACUUCAUAGUUAAGCGCGCAUGGGCUAGAGUAGUACAUGGAUGGGUGACCUCUUGAGAAGUCCUAGUGUUGCACCCU
rfam:Picea glauca, whole genome shotgun sequence.